UAAUACCGCAUACGAUCUACGGAAGAAAGCGGGGGAUCUUCGGACCUCGCGCUAUAGGGGCGGCCGAUGGCAGAUUAGCUAGUUGGUGGGGUAAAGGCCUACCAAGGCGACGAUCUGUAGCUGGUCUGAGAGGACGACCAGCCACACUGGGACUGAGACACGGCCCAGACUCCUACGGGAGGCAGCAGUGGGGAAUUUUGGACAAUGGGGGAAACCCUGAUCCAGCAAUGCCGCGUGUGUGAAGAAGGCCUUCGGGUUGUAAAGCACUUUUGUCCGGAAAGAAAACUUCCUGGUUAAUACCUGGGGAGGCUGACGGUACCGGAAGAAUAAGCACCGGCUAACUACGUGCCAGCAGCCGCGGUAAUACGUAGGGUGCGAGCGUUAAUCGGAAUUACUGGGCGUAAAGCNGUGCGCAGGCGGUUUGUUAAGACAGAUGUGAAAUCCCCGGGCUUAACCUGGGAACUGCAUUUGUGACUG
rnacentral:rRNA from 1 species